AGAGUUUGAUCCUGGCUCAGAAUCAACGCUGGCGGCAGGCCUAACACAUGCAAGUCGAACGGGCGUAGCAAUACGUCAGUGGCAGACGGGUGAGUAACACGUGGGAACAUGCCCUUUGGUUCGGAAUAACUCAGGGAAACUUGAGCUAAUACCGGAUAUGUCCGAGGCAACUUGGAGAAAGAUUUAUCGCCGGAGGAUUG
rnacentral:rRNA from 1 species